GAUGAACGCUAGCUACAGGCUUAACACAUGCAAGUCGAGGGGAAACGACAUCGAAAGCUUGCUUUUGGUGGGCGUCGACCGGCGCACGGGUGAGUAACGCGUAUCCAACCUGCCCACCACUUGGGGAUAACCUUGCGAAAGUAAGACUAAUACCCAAUGAUAUCCCACGAAGGCAUCCGAAUGGGAUUAAAGAUUUAUCGGUGAUGGAUGGGGAUGCGUCUGAUUAGCUUGUUGGCGGGGUAACGGCCCACCAAGGCAACGAUCAGUAGGGGUUCUGAGAGGAAGGUCCCCCACAUUGGAACUGAGACACGGUCCAAACUCCUACGGGAGGCAGCAGUGAGGAAUAUUGGUCAAUGGGCGAGAGCCUGAACCAGCCAAGUAGCGUGCAGGAUGACGGCCCUAUGGGUUGUAAACUGCUUUUAUAAGGGAAUAAAGUGAGCCUCGUGAGGCUUUUGCAUGUACCUUAUGAAUAAGGACCGGCUAAUUCCGUG
rnacentral:rRNA from 1 species